GAGUUUGAUCAUGGCUCAGAACGAACGCUGGCGGCGCGCCUAACACAUGCAAGUCGAACGAGAAUCCGGGGCAACCCGGUAGUAAAGUGGCAAACGGGUGAGGAAUGCAUGGGUAACCUACCCUUGAGAAGGGAAUAACCCGCCGAAAGGUGAGCUAAUACCCUAUACGCUCCUUUUUCUGCGGAAAGGGAAGGAAAGCUAGAUCGUGGAUCUGGCACUCAAGGAGGGGCUCAUGUCCUAUCAGCUUGUUGGUGGGGUAACGGCCUACCAAGGCAACGACGGGUAGCUGGUCUGAGAGGAUGAUCAGCCACACUGGCACUGAGAUACGGGCCAGACUCCUACGGGAGGCAGCAGUGAGGAAUAUUGCGCAAUGGGCGAAAGCCUGACGCAGCGACGCCGCGUGGGGGAUGAAGGUUUUCGGAUUGUAAACCCCUUUCGUGAGGAAAGAUAAAGUGGGAAACCACUUGGACGGUACCUCAAGAAGAAGCCACGGCUAACUUCGUGCCAGCAGCCGCGGUAAUACGAAGGUGGCAAGCGUUGUUCGGAUUUACUGGGCGUAAAGAGCACGUAGGCGGUUGGGUAAGCCUCUUGGGAAAUCUCUCGGCUUAACCGGGAAAGUUCGAGGGGAACUGCUCAGCUAGAGGACGGGAGAGGAGCGCGGAAUUCCCG
rnacentral:rRNA from 1 species